rnacentral:rRNA from 1 species
UACGGGGGGAGCAAGCGUUGUUCGGAUUUACUGGCGUAAAGGGCGCGUAGGCGGUCAGCACAAGUCAGUUGUGAAAUCUCCGGGCCUUAACUCGGAAAGGUCAACUGAUACUGUGCGACUAGAGUGCAGAAGGGGCAACUGGAAUUCUCGGUGUAGCGGUGAAAUGCGUAGGAUAUCGAGAGGAACACCUGCGGCGAAGGCGGUUGCUGGCGUGACACGUGACGUGGAUGCGCGAACCGGGAGCAAG